rnacentral:rRNA from 1 species
CAGCCGCCGCGGUAAUACGAAGGUCCCAAGCGUUGUUCGGAAUCACUGGGCGUAAAGGGAGCGUAGGCGGCGUGGUAAGUCAGAUGUGAAAUCCCGGGGCUCAACCCCGGAACUGCAUCCGAUACUGCCAUGCUUGGGGGUUGGAGAGGUAGCUGGAAUACUCGGUGUAGCAGUGGAAUGCGUGGAUAUCGAGAGGAACACUCGUGGCGAAGGCGAGCUACUGGACAACAUCUGACGCUGAGGCUCGAAGGCUAGGGUAGCGAAAGGGAUUAGAUACCCCAGUAGUCCCUGUCUCUUAUAC